rnacentral:misc_RNA from 1 species
GAAAUGCGAUACGUAAUGUGAAUUGCUUUCCGUGAAUCAUCAAAUCUUUGAACGCACAUUGCACUCCUUCGGGAGUAUGCCUGAUUGAGAAUCUAUAGUAUUCUUCCAGCCCUGUUCUCUCGAGAGCGCGGGUGGAGAUGUGAGGCUUCCCUGCAGAGGGUGCCUUGAAAGAGAUUGCCGGCUGGUAGCCAGGACGACGAAGUGCCGAUACCAGAGAAACGUAUGUGAAUGGAACUGUGGUUUCUCAUAAUGCUGAUUAUCUGGUGGGUAUGGAGUGCUUGCUGCCGGUGGGUCCAAAACCAUAAAGACGAGCCUCCGGGCGACUCUUGAACCAUGGUCUCAAAUUAGGUAGGAAGACCCGCUGAACUUAA